UACGUAGGGGGCGAGCGUUGUCCGGAUUUAUUGGGCGUAAAGAGCUCGUAGGCGGUUUGGCAAGUCGGGUGUGAAAACUCCGGGCUCAACUCGGAGACGCCACUCGAUGCUGCUAUGACUCGAGUCCGGUAGGGGAGUGCGGAAUUCCUGGUGUAGCGGUGAAAUGCGCAGAUAUCAGGAGGAACACCGGUGGCGAAGGCGGCACUCUGGGCCGGUACUGACGCUGAGGAGCGAAAGCGUGGGGAGCGAACAGG
rnacentral:rRNA from 1 species